UUAUUUAAGAGCUAAAUAUUGUAAGUAUAUAAUAAUUACGAAAGCAAAAAAUUAUGGCGGUAUUUUAAGCUUUUCAGAGGAAUUUGCUCUUUAAUGGAUAAAACACCUAAAUCUUACUUAAAUUUGUUAAAUCAACUUGUAUACCACUAUUAAAACAAUUAUUAACUCUAAUUGUUAACAUUUAAAACAUAAAUUAAUUUAAAUUAAGUCAAGGUGCAGUAAAAAUUUAAGAAUGAAGUGAAUUACAUUACUUUUAAGGGAAAUAAAAUUAAAUAAAGUUUAGGAUUUGAAAGUAAAAUUAAAAUAGAAUGUUAAUUUGAAUUAAGCUCUAAAAUAUGUACAUAUC
rnacentral:rRNA from 1 species